UGCAAACUGCGAAUACCGGAGAAUGUUAUCACGGGAGACACACGGCGGGUGCUAACGUCCGUCGUGAAGAGGGAAACAACCCAGACCGCCAGCUAAGGUCCCAAAGUCAUGGUUAAGUGGGAAACGAUGUGGGAAGGCCCAGACAGCCAGGAUGUUGGCUUAGAAGCAGCCAUCAUUUAAAGAAAGCGUAAUAGCUCACUGGUCGAGUCGGCCUGCGCGGAAGAUGUAACGGGGCUAAACCAUGCACCGAAGCUGCGGCAGCGACGCUUAUGCGUUGUUGGGUAGGGGAGCGUUCUGUAAGCCUGUGAAGGUGUGCUGUGAGGCAUACUGGAGGUAUCAGAAGUGCGAAUGCUGACAUAAGUAACGAUAAAGCGGGUGAAAAGCCCGCUCGCCGGAAGACCAAGGGUUCCUGUCCAACGU
rnacentral:rRNA from 1 species